GACGAACGCUGGCGGCGUGCUUAACACAUGCAAGUCGAACGGAGUGGCGAACGGGUGAGUAAAACGUGGGUGAUCUGCCUUGCACUUCGGGCUAAGCUUGGGAAACUGGGAGUAAUACCGGAUAGUGCAAGAUGAGCUCGCGGCCUAUAAGCUUGUUGGUGGGGUAAUGGCCUACCAAGGCGUCGACGGGUAGCCGGCCUGGGAGUGUGUACGGGCACAUUGGGACUGAGUUACUGCCCAGACUCCUACGGGAGGCAGCAGUGGGGAAUAUUGCACAAUAGGCGGAAGGCUGAUGCAGCGACGCCGCGUGGGGGAUGAAGGCCUUCGGGUUGUAAACGCCUUUCGACAGGGACGCGGUACCUGUAUAAGAAGCACCGGCUAACUACGUGCCAGAAGCCGCGGUAAUUC
rnacentral:rRNA from 1 species